CUUCACUGCUGUUCGCAAGGAACAUUUAAUAUUUCACUGCAUGAGAAGGAGAUCUUAGGUGAGUUACAAGCGUUAAAUAGUAAAUUGAUAUCUACCUUAGAUGUUUGAUCCUUUGAAGUAGUUGUAUGUGAAUAGAAAUGCUUGGGAGGUUUUUGGUAUUGAAGCUGGAUUUGCUAUUACAAACCCUUGGGAUAUUUGUUUUGUGUCAAUCGACACGUCAAAUUGAAUAUCACAGACUUUUGCCAGCACGGAGUAUAAUUUGUAUGCAUGUGUAUCAAACAUUGGUAGGUCCACCCUAAAGCCUUUUUUGUGUCAGAUAUAUUCCUUUUUUUUUUUUUUAAAUAAGACUGAUUUUAUUUCAUGUUUGUUGUUGAACACUGGAAAUUGGCAAUAUUUAGAGGUUUGUAUGGAUUACUUUUAUUACAGUACAGAUGCCACAUUUCCUAAAAAUUAAAAAAUUGGACAAAAAAAAAAAAUAUUAAUUUUUUUUUAAAGGGAAACUCCAGCCCCUUUAGCUUGCUGAAGUGCCUUUAUGAUUAACUUCAUGUCUCCUUAGGCUUAAGGGUUACUGCAACCAAAAUCCAGUGUUUUAUGAAAACAAUAUAUUUUUUAGAGUAGCCCUAGGUGAGCUGUGAGCUGGUCUGCCAUUUCCCCCCUCCCCCAGACUUAAAGGGAAACUAUAGUGAUAUAGGGGAGGCACAAAGGAAGGCAUACCAAAGUUGUAUUCCUAGCACUAUAGUACUCUAUAGUACCCCCUUCCCUCACCAGCGAUAAAAGGGUUAAAAGCCAUUUUGUCACUUACCUGAUUCAAGCAUCAAGGUCCCUCGCCGCUGGCUCAGGUUCCCCCUGCUCUGCCGACGUCAGCUUUUGGAAGGGGGCCUAAUGCGCAUGCGCAAGCAAUCACCGCAAUCGCAUUAGGACUAUCCCAUAGGAAUGCAUUGAAUCAAUGCUUUCCUACAGAGUUUUAGCUGACACUGGAUGUCCUAAUGCAAAUCGUGAGGACGUCCAGCCAGGCAACCUAAAGUCCAGUUAAGCAACCAAAUGUCACCUAACACAGUGCUCCUCUCCUCCCGGUCACUUCUCAUAGUGUGGCCAAGAGCCAGCAACUCCGUCUAUCCUGCCUUCCACUCUGCAGUGCUGCGGACUGUGCGGAGGGGGCAGAGAUAUGAAGUCAUAUCUCUGCUCCCCCUGUAGCACAUAGUGCUGCUGGUGCCCAGCAGGGGCAGAGCUACCGCCGGCCCCCUUCUCAUCAGCAUGGGAAGACUUACUCCCAAGAAGACUGGAGCCGCGAGAGCAGGAGAAGGCAGAGAGGAGGGGAGCUGGGCAGGGCUAGCUCCUCCAACUCCCAACUACCUCAGGCAUCACUCUAGAUCCCAGGUAAGCCACCCUCCUGAACCCACAAGGUAGAAAACAGAAUGGUGGCUAGAAAAGUGUAUAUUUUGACCAGCAUGUAUGUGUGUGUCUGUCAGUGUGUCUGUGUGUGUAUCUGUAUGCCUGUCAGUGUGUCUGUGUGUGUGUGUAUAUCUGUCAGUGUGUAUGUGUGUAUUUGUAUGUCUGUCAGUGUGUCUGUGUGUGUAUGUCUGUCAGUGUGUGUCUGUAUGUCUGUCUGUGUGUGUGUGUAUCUGUAUGUCAGUCAAUAUGUAUGUGUGUGUCUGUAUAUCUAUCAGUGUGUAUGUGUGUGUAUCUGUAUGUCUGUCAGUGUGUAUCUGUAUGUCAGUGUGCGUAUAUAUCUGUAUGUCAGUGUGUGGUUAUCUGUAUGUCUGUCAGUGUUUGUGUGUAUCUGUGUGUCUAUCUAUCUGAAUAUGUAUCAGUUUGUGUAUAUUUGUAUCUGUGUAUCUGCAUGUGUGUCAGUGUGUGUAUCUUUGUGUAUCUGUAUCUCAGUGUGUGUGUGUGUGUGGCAGUGUAUGUGUAUAUGUACAUAUAUCUCAGCAUUCAAAUGCCAACACUACACACAAAUACACAUCUGCAUGCAAACAUCAACACUACAUACAAACACACCACUGCAUUCAAAUGUCAACACUACAUACAAACACACCUCUUUAUUAGACACCAAAAUUAUAUAUAGAGGAAGUGCAGGGGGGUGGCAAAAUGCAUCUUUGCCUGUGUAGUCAAAAAUCCUUGCACCGGCCCUGGCAAUAGCCUCACAAAGCUUUUGUAUGGGAAAGCAUUGGAUUGGCUGAGAUCAUCAAGUUUGAUGAUCUCAGCCAUGGAGGCGGGGCCAGCAGCAACAAGACAAGCAUGGUGUGGGAAAAAAGGUGAGUUUAAAAACCUUUCACUGCUCUGACAUAGGGGGUAUAACACUAUAGUGUCAGGAAUACAUGAUUGUGUUCCUGAAUCUUUAGUGUUCCUUUAACAAACAGGGAUGACAUAUGGAGGGUGGGCAAUGGAAAAUACACGUGAGUGAUUUAAAAAGGGGGAACAUUAGGUUUGGCAAAAUAAAUUUUAUAAACAACAUGAAUGGAAAUGGAAGAAAUAACUGACCAUGAAAGGUAUUGGAAUUAAAAGAGAAAUCUAAUUUGACAUAUACAUACAGUGUGAUUGCGAGAGAGUGUUAAAAAAGGGAAAGAUUCAUCUUUUCAAAAUCGUUUAAUCUUUUCUGUCCAGUCAGGGUUAUUCCAUGUUGGUCAAUGAUAUGGUUAAUAUGCAAGUUACAUAAGUAAUUAAAAGACAGAUAGUAAGCUGAUGUUGGGUAUUCCAGAAUAUUGAAUGUUGGGUAUUCAAGAAUUCCUGCUAAGAUUAAUUUACAUAAGGUUGGCCAUCUGCGAUGCUUGGUAGUUAAAGUCCAUAAUGAAUAGGUUUAGAGCCUGUAAAUAUGUUUAUAAGUUUCCGGGAUCUGGACUGCCCAUUCCAUUCUUCCUGUAAAAAGAUAUUUAAUUGUAGCCAGCAUGUAAGGGAGUCUUCCGCGCAAUUUUUAAAAUUGGCCUUGCAGUUCAACAUUUUUAUAGAUGGCUUAAAGCCUUAAAAGGGACACUGUAGGCACUAUAACUUCUUCAUCUCAUCGAAGUGUUUAUAGUGUCAGUUGCGCUGUGCUUCCAUUGAGCAUUAACAGGGCCCUGGAAAAAAAUAUUUACCAGCCCCAUAAUGCGUCGCGCCAGUAUUGUGUGCAGAUACAGAGUUAGAAAAGAGAACUUAAAAUUAAAAAUUAUUACUUCAACGUAAAAAAAAAAGCACUCAUAGGCUUCAAAAUAAACAAAAGUGCAGAUUUAUUUUAAGCAGACGUGCCUUUGCAUGUAAUCAAUGUUUCAGUCCAACUACCUUGACAUAAUAAGGAAAGCUUGGUAAUGGGACUGAAAUGGUGAAUGUAUGUAGGGCACAACUGUAAAAAAAUGACGUUAUCUUGUUUAUUUUGAAGUCCUGUGGGUGCGCUCUUCACUUUAAAUAUGUUAUUGUGAUGGAGUCUGCAUCUAGCAACAAGACUGGGACAAUAUCUGCUCAUUACAAAUGGUACAUAUUAAUGACAUUUAUCUGUGUAUUAUGCAUAUAUAAAUGUACAUUAAUAUAUGUGUAAAUAUAAUAGGCAUACAUAUAUAUAUAUAUAUAUAUAUAUAUAUAUAUAUAUAUAUAUAUAUAUAUAUAUAUAUAAAUAUAUAUAAAACUAAUACACAUUAAUAUACAUGUCAUAUACCAGUGGUGGAUCCAGAGCCUGAUCCCGGGAGGGGCACUUGUAGAUUAUUUAAAGAAAUAAUCCAUGCACAAUAACCACUACUGCUCUCUGUAGUGGUUAUGGUGCCAGGAGUGCCGGGACCCCCUCCCAGAGUAAGUAGUCAAACCGUUUAAGAACAGUUUGACAACGUAUCUGGGGUCUGCUGGGAUAUGGGGCUAUAGUAGGGUAUAGGAGCAGUGGUGCAAUGUGUGAGGGGUGCACUGUGUGUGUGAAAGGUUCAGUGUAUGUGUGUGUGGGGGGGUGUAGUGUAUGAAUGUGUGGGGUGUCUGGCAAUAUGUGUAUGGGGGGCUGUGUAUGUGUGCAGCAAUGUGUGUGUGGGGGGCUGUGUAUGUGUGUGUGGGGCAAUGUGUGUGAGGGCAGUGUGUGUGUGUGUGUGUGUGUAUGGGGCAAUGUGUGUAUGGGGGGCAGUGUGUGAAUAUGUAUGGUGUGUGUGGGGGCAGUGUGUGUAUGGGGGGCAGUGUGUGCCGCACGGUGCCUGUGGAACGAGGAGGGAGAUCGGCUGGCAGGGGAGAGCCUCGUGGGGGGGAAUUGCCCUGUUGCCUCCCCCUCUGUGUCCAUGUCUCCCCUCUCCUUUCCAGUCUCUCUAUUCCCCCUCUGCCUCUUUCUCCCCCUCCCUUUGUGCAUCUCUCUCCUUUCCCCCUCUGCCUCUUUCUCCCCCUCCCCUUGUGUGUCUCUCUCCUUUCCCCUUGUGCGUCUCUCUCCUUUCUCCCUUUGUCUCCCCCUCCCCUUGUGUGUCUCUCUCCUUUCUUCCUCUGUCUCCCCCUCCCCUUGUGUCUCUCUCCUUUCUCCCUCUGUCUCUUUCUCCCCCCCUUUCCCUGUCUCUCUCCCACCGUCUCUCCCCCUCUGUCUCUUUCUCCCUCUAUUCCCCCUCUGUUUGAUUUCCCCCCUUCCCUUGUGUCUCUUUAUUCUCCGUCUUCCCCCUCCCAUUUACCUGAGAGGAGUCAGGGGGGCCGGCCACAUUCCACGCUGGAGCCGCCGGGCCGGGUGGCAGCCUCGCCGGUCUGGCCGCCCUCCUCCUGUCACUGAUGGCUGAGGAGUGAAGAAGGAGGAGGGAGGAGCAUGUCUCUGUACCAUGCUCCCUCGCGGUUCCUGUGUUGUGGGUACAGAGACAUGCUCCUCCCUUUUCCUUCUUCACUCCUAAGCCAUCAGUGACAGGAGGAGGGCCGCCGGACCGGCGAGGCUGCCACCCGGCCCGGCGGCUCCAGCAUGGAAUGCGGCCAGCCCCCUCAGAGUGUGUGCCACCGGACCGGCCACCCGGUGGCACACACAUGCUCAGCGCAGCCCCCAGAUGCCGCGGCCCACCGGGAAAUUUCCCGGUAUCCCGGUGGGCCAGUCCGGCCCUGAGCAUUAAGCAAUAUGAAAUGUUUGAUUGCUAAAGUAUAGUCCACAGCAGUCUAUCCCUUCUGUGCUGCUUGAAUUAAUUAAGUAUUAAUCUGAACAGCAAUGGAUGGUUGUGAUUGGCUUAGAAUGUCAGCUGACUGCUUUCAGACCAUCACUUUGCCUAUAGCAGGUGUGAAUCGGCAUGGCCUUAGCCAUAGCUCCAGUAGGGGAGGCUUGGGGUGGCCAGGGACCCUCAUUCAGUGCUAGACUGCUCCAAAAUGAUUUAAUAAAGUAUUAAAGGACACUGCCAUUGGACUCCAGACACUAUAUCCAAUUUAAUUAGAUGAAAUGGUUAUAGUGCCUACAGUGUCCCUUUAAUAUGUCAAAAUGAGUGGACAAGAAAACUAUGCUUCUCGAUAUAUGCCAGACCAUGUCCAGCAACUUAAGGAUUACCAAGCCCUCAGUCAUAACAAACAAUAGUGUAAUUAUAUAAUUGUGUAUGUAUCCCCUGUUCAAGAACACUGUCAAUGGGGUGUGCAAGACAGUGCUUUAUUAAGCAUUCCCCUGUGAAAACUGAAGUCACAAUAUAGGGAUUACCUAUUUCUAUUCCAACCAUAUAUUAAAAUACAUACAGACCAUUUGUAGUCAUUGAGGACUACUGUGGGAAUUUACAAUGUAGAGCAGGGCUGCCCAAAAUGUAGAUCUCCAGAUGUUUUAAAACUACAGCUUUCGUGAUGCCUUGUCAUUCUAAAGGCAUGCAAAGCAUCAUGGGAGUUGUAGUUCUACAACACCUGGAGAUCUACCUUUUGGGUACCCCUGAUGUAGAGUAUGCACCUAUUCCUGUUUUUAUUUAUACCCUAAGAAGUGCAUUGUGCUCUGCCUUCAUCUGAUGUAAUUAUCUUAGUUAGCUACGUGCACUGCUAGUUACAUACUUGCUCAAUUGAGAUUUCUUUUUUCCUACCAUUGCAAACAGUUGAAAAAUAAAAUAGAAAUCACAUUUCCUAUUCGCCGAGCCAUAACAGCUAGCGGUCACAUGACAGCUAUAAUGCAUGGAAAUAUAUAAUUAGCUGAUAUAAGCAGUGCACAUACCAUUGAAUAUUUCAUCAACCAUUCAAACAAUUUGCAUUCUUGUUUUACUUUACAAUGUAUAUGAGGUUCACCUUCCGCGCUGCAUAAUUUCUACUUUUUUUUUUGAAAUGCCAAAUAUCAUUGUAUAUUUUACCAAAAUAUCUAUAGAGGUGACAGACCAUAGUGCAUUCAUUUUCCUUGAUUUUGUACUGAUGGAAAGGACCAUCAUGAAUAAUUCAAAAAUAAUGCUGAGACUGUUAAGAUUUAGUGCUGAAGACUAGAGGUCACCACAGUUGGGAGAAUCAAGGUAGGCGAGGAUUGCUAUUGCACGAUCUUUGAGUCUCAAGGUGACAUCAUUAUUAUUUCUCUAUAUCUAUAAUGUGGUGCUGCAACCAACUUAUUGCAAUGUUUCUCAUGUAGGGUAGAAAGAUCAAUUACAUACAGACCUCAAAAUGUGAACUAUAAGCAUAGUGUCCAAUAAAACUGUCAUUAACAGUCACCACAAUUUUAGCUGCAUGUUUCCAGGUCAAGCUGUUUUAAAAACGAUAACUGACUUUGAAAGGUUGAAUAAAGCGCAUACUCAUUCCAUAGGGAACAAUUUUGUAACCAAACAUGUGAAACUAUUUUAUUAAAUCACACAGUAAUAACUCCAUAGUUUUUUUUGUUUUUUUUAAAGAUAUCCUGUAUUGGUCGUUAAAUUACUUCCCAAUAUAAACAGUGUAACACUGUGCAGACAGGUAAUACAGAAGAGAGUUUAUACCUUUUGCCAUUAUGUGUCAAGAACAUUGUAUUUAAUACAUUCUGAAAAUGUUCUACUUUAAUCAGAAUUAUUUCUGCGUUUGCCUUGUGAUUAUCUGUAUUUUUAAUGGUUUGUUAAUAGAACUGAGCUUUAAUAGAACUUUUUAAUAACACGUUGAAUAUCAGUGAAGGAUUGUAUUAUAAAAAUAAAUCUUCCAUAAUUUAUGUUUCAAUACUUUAGACAUUAUUGAAUAUUAUGUAUCUUAAAAGAACCCUCCUGUCACCAUAACAACUUCAUCUGAAUGAAGUGAUUAUGGUGUCAACUGUUCGAGAACAGUUUAACCCCUUAAGGUAAGAGAGUGCUCGGGGACCUCCUGACACCAGGGCCAGAUUUCCCAUAAGGCCCUUGACGGUGGCCUUGGAAUAGUAGAUCUUCCUCACCAGCUAACCCAUUCUCAUGAUGAGUGUGUGCAUGUGCAGAGGCCAACCUGCACAAGAAGAAGAUUAUCGACCUACUUGUUCUCCUUCCAGGCCAGCUGCUGAGCUGCUGCAUGAAUCAGAAGAGAGUGGGCUGGGCUAUGACAUCAUUCUUAUAACCCAGUGACCUCCUUCUCCAUGCUUGUAAGGGACGGAGAGGAUGCCAAAAGAGGACAACCUGCACAGAAGUGAGCACUCAAUGCAGUCCUCCCCUACUCUACCCUGUCCUUCUUGCACUCCAUUUCAGCUGGGCAGCCACCAGCCUGCCCAGGAAGGCCAGUGCGUGUGUCUGAACUGGUCACUGUGUGCGUGUCUGCAUGGGUAAAUGUGAGCGCGUCUGCCUGGGUCAGUGUGUGUCUGCGUGGGUCAAUGAGUGUGUAUGUCUACAUGGGUCAAUGUGAGCGUGUCCUCAUGGGUCAGUGCGUAUCUGCAUAGGUCAAUAUGUGCGUGUCUGCAUGGGUAAAUGUGAGCGUGUCUGCCUGGGUCAGAGCGUGUCUGCAUGGGUCAAUGUGUGUGUGUCUGCAUGGGUCAAUGUGAGCGUGUCCUCAUGGGUCAAUGUGAGCGUGUCUGCAUGGGUCAAUGUGAGCGUGUCUGCAUGGGUCAAUGUGAGCGUGCCUGCAUGGGUCAAUGUGAGUGUGUCUGCAUGAGUCAGUGUGAAUGUGUGCCUCUGCAUGGAUCAGUGUGAGUGUGUCUGUGUGAUGAGCCACCUGACAAGGCAUCUUACCCACAGCCAAAAAUCGCUCUCUCUGGUGCUACCUACGUGGAGAGACACGAGCCCCCUCGAGCUAUGAGUCAGCUUCACAGCUGCAGGGUCCCGCUGGUUGCCUAGAAGAAGCAAUGGGAGAAGGAGCCCACAUUCAAACCCUUUCUCCUGAUUGGCCGGUACAAGUUAAAGGGCUUAGUCACAAACCCCUCCCCUCACUGAGCGCUGAUUGGUCGCCGCGGUUGGUUUAGGCGCAGAAUAUGUAUCCACUGGCCAAAACCAAGUGAUUCUGUGGAGCUAUUUUCGGGUAUGUACCUCAAGCCCAGAUUUGGUACGCUGGGCUCUGUACAUCCGAUAACUCCGCUAUUUGCAGGGAUCAUAGCUGUACCACAUGUUUUCAUGUUACUUUGAAUGGAGACCCCCUGCUGGGGGUCUGUGCAUAAAUGUUGUGUAUCUUGCCUGAAAUAAACAGUUCUAUUUCACCCUUCACUAAGUCUCGACUAGUAUUUGGGUGAUACCACGAUUGCCCUUCUGCAAGCGACUAUAAUCACUGGCUAGCAGCUCUAAUCACUCUAUGGCUGGGCACAACUAGGAAGGGGUGACCACAGGUGGUAGUAACCCAUCCCCGAGAGGGUUUACCGCCACAGUCUGCAUAGGUUAGUGUUUGUGUGUCUGUAUAAUAAUGUUUAACGUUAAUAUGGUGAAGGGGUUAAUGUUUAAUGUAGCAUAGGGUUUGAUAAUAAUGUAGAGGAUAAAGAGAAAGUAUAGGUACCAUAAUCGCUUCAAUGUAUUAAAGUGGAUCCAGAAGCCUGGAAUCCAUAGGUGCCUGGACCCACAUCACUACUAAACCCUUUAGUACUAAAAAAAAAGGGAGGAGUUUACUGUAAGGGAACACUGGCACAUUGUCCCAAGGCUGCUUGGUGUUAGAAGGUGUUACAGCUCCAGGAUGAUGCAAUUUUGGCUAACCUAAUUACCAGUUGUUACCACUGGUGAAUGUAACUCUCAUUGGUUUUGCUCAAAUUUAGCACACCAAAGACUGCACACAGAGAUGAUCUGUGAAUUUUUCCCCUUUCAUUAAAGAGAAUAAUUACAUGGAUUUCAUUGCCAAUCCAUGCAAUAUGGUUUUUGAAAGCAUAAUCUGCCUUUUGAAAUAACAGAUUUAAAUAGAUUUCUUGACUUUAGUCAGAUAGAUAUGAAGCACCUAAGCCAUUCUUUAGAAAUUAAUCUUUGUAUGAUGCCACCUGUUCCACACACUCAUUGCUAGGUGUCACCAUUAAUAUGUAAAUAUCCCAAGACCUGUGAUAAAAGUGCAUGUGUUAGAGGAUAACAGAUUUCGACAGGUUAUUCUAACUUUGACCUUCAUAUUUCAAUUAGUACCAUAUAUUGCCCUUUUCACAAAUAUUAAGCCAAUAAACGCAAAGCCCCGAGGCAGACUGAGGUCAUAUUCUAAUGCUUAUAACAGAAAAGAUAAAAUAAUAAAAAUUAAUAUUCUCCCAUCUACUCCCAUACUGAACCCACCGCCAUAUAGUGGCCUUUUGGAAAAUUUAUUUAUUAGUCUUUAGAGAUUUUAUUGUAUAUUUUCCCGUUGAACACCACUGAGUUUGUUUGUGAUAUUUACUACCACAACUCUGUUUGACUCACUCACUUCCAAUAAGUUAUAAUUAAAAAGAAUGAAACCCACCAAGAUGUUUAAAUCAGAGUAUACUGUAUUUGCCCAGAGCUGUGAUCUCUUCCAAAUUGGAAUGUUUACGAAUGCCGAACUACCAGAUGAUGAUGCGUUUUGAUAUGUUGUAGUGGAUAUGACCAGGACAGACUAUUAACAAAGAAUACAAAUAUUUUUGAACUGUCGUGCAUUAAUUUGCUGUGCUAAAUUUUAUGAUGUGAUAUGCAUUCUUAAUGUAUAUGGUAAAUUAAAGUUAUAAUGUAGAAUUUUUUAACCAUCUUAUAACCUGCUAAUAUGUUUUUUUUUUUAAUGCAGGAGAUAUAUGUGCAAAUAUGACCAUCGUAAGUCUCUUUAUCCAUUUGCUCAUGUGCGUAAUAUCAUUUGUGUGUGUUGAACCCUUUUAUAAAUUCACAUGUGAAAUGACUGCAAUUAAUUUUGUAAAACUUAUUCCACAUCUUGCUGAAUAUUGUAGAUUGUGCAAGUUAAGUUAUUUAAGGCAGACACGUUUGCAUAGCCUCCUAAGAGGUUAAAAUAUUCUUAGGCAAAAUAUGUUGCAUCUGUCUGAAUAGACCCCGUGAAUAUCAUUUAAAUAUUUCUUGCCUGGGGCAAAUUGUGCUUGGUGUGGUUGCAUUUAAAUGAAUAAAUUCAUUAUAAAAAUGUAUUAGGGGAAAGUUGUGUGUUGACCUCAAACAUUUCUGAGAUGCAAAGUAAUGGUGCCCCAAUUUACUUUAUCAUUAAUCACAUAUCUUGCUUUCUUUUGUUAAUCAGUGACAGGAUUGUGCUCUUUUUUUUUUUCUUUAACAAAAAUCCCUAAAAAAAAAAUUAAGUAGAGUCACAACAAUGUAAGACAGAAUCUCUGCCAAAUCAAGAAUGUUAUAAUGAAUACUGUACUGUACGUUGUUGACUCUUAAAUCACAACAUAUAUUCUUCAAGUAUGUUAUCAUGUUGAAUGUAUUUUCCUUGCCACUGCUAUUAUUAACGUUUGGCAAUAACAAUAUCCUGAACGUCAACAAUGUGAUACUUUCACAAUGAACAUAUGUGAAUUGAGUUGAAUGUCUUUAUGUAAUAUUCUGAAUCUUGAUCCAAGAAUACAUGUUUUGAUAACAUGAGACCUCUUUGAUUGUAACAUAUUAGCUAAAAAUAAAAUGCAGUGACAUCGUUAUGAAAACAUUGAUUAACCCCAGGUAGCUUAAUAUUAACGUCCACAUUUUAUUUUGCUUAAAGAGACUCUCCGGGCACAAAUACAACUUUGAAUGCAUUUGAUACAUUUUGCAUGCACAAAUCUUUAUAGUUUUUCAAAAAAAAUAAAUAAUGUUUUGUAGAAUGCUGCAACGUAAGCCUGCCAUUUUUGCCACACCCCAUGUGCCAGAAUGACUUCCUUAUCAAAGGUAUGCGCACAGUCUUAGCCCCAAUAGCACUGAGUGAGCUGCUAAUAAUGUACUACAUGCAGACAGUCAGAGAAACUAUAAACAGGUAGUGAUAUCAUUACUAUAUUCCUUCCUGGGUGUCAUUCAGUGCUAUUGGCUGAGCUGUGUACAUACUUUUGAUAAGGAAGUAUUUUUCUGGAAAGAGGGGGUGUGGCUACGGAGGCAGGCUUAUGGUGCACUGUUCUGCAAAACAUUUAUUUAAAAUAUGCAAAAUUAUAAAGAUUUAAGCAUAAAAAAAUAUAGCAUGUUAAAGUCAUUUAAUAAGCAUUAAAGUCGUAUUGGUAGUAUGCGCAUCCAAAAUAAGAUCAUGUGAAGUUAGUUACUGCCUUGUUCUUCUGACCUCUGCUUUUUAAUAUUUCACAGUAUCUCUAAUCUGGUUCAUAGACAUUCCAUUUCUACAAAUAACAAUAACAGGGUUAUACAGUAAAGUGUAAAUUCAAAGUGAACUUCAAAUUUAAGGUCAAAAUAGACAGACUUGACAAAUUCUCUAAGUAAGCUGUGCUUUCAUUUUGGUUAUUCUUGCUUUACAUUCAAAAUUCACUUUGAAUUCUCAUUUUAGUAAACAACCCUUUCAGUAUGUAAGUAAGUCUGCCGGUGGAUUAGGGAGUGCUCCACUGUGUUUUGGAUAGUCCUGUGCUAGUGUCCAGUUUAUUUCUAUUUUUUUAUUAUGGAGAAAAAAGUAAGCUGUAGUCUACCUUAUUUAUCUUUUUGUGACCAACAAUGGUAAAAAGGGACUUAUGUGAGCUGCUAAGAGUAGCAGCACUGAGACGAUCUGAGCCCUUCGCACAUUCUAAAAGUUAACACUCCAUUGUUAAAGGGUUAACAUCUAAUGAACCUAUUGAGCCGUUUUGAUUUUUUUUAGGGUAAGUGAAAGGUAGAACCACAUAUUGAUACUUACCCGACUAUUCAAAUUCAGAUUUACUUUUGCUUCCCUGCAAUUUAAUACUGAUAUAUUCACCAGUAUUGGUUUCAUAAAAAUGAAAGUUAUAUUUAUUUGUAAUCUCUCAGCUUACACUCUAUUGGACAAUAAAAAAGUGAUAAACUUAAUAAAAAAAAAAAAAGCCAAGUGAAGGAAGUUGCUCCGGGAAUCGCAAGCCUAUAUGAAGGUUAUAAAUUUACUUGUAUACUUACGACAUUGUCAGCUAAUUUUUAUGAAAAGCCCAUCAUAGUACAAUGCAACAAAACAUUGGGAUCAGUCGUAUGUCACCUAUCUUACUUCCCCUGAUAAAAAAUAGAACAUGUAUCAUAAAAUAAUACUUCAAACUACAAAUGUAUCUUGAAAUUCUUAGUACGCAGUAACAUUUUAUUUUUGACCUUAGCUUCCAUGUGAACAUUCAAUUAAUCAUUAAUGUUAUAUGUUUUUUAUGUUCCUAUAUUCUUUAGAAAUAACCCAUGGUAAUAAUAAAACACAUACUGAUAUGAAUCGAUUUACUAGAUCCUGACACACACACACAAAAAAAAUGGUGUUGCGGCAAAGUUAUGCCAAAAUCCUAUAUACUAGUAUGCGUACACCAGAAUUAUGGCAUUUAUGGGUUUCUAGUCCGUCAGCUGUUGGGACCAUAUGAUUGUAUCCACUAGCAUUGUGACACAAGUCAAGCUUUCUGGCAUAGCCAAACUGGGCAUAUCGGACAAAUAUUCACUGCUAUACACAGGAUGGCCCCACAAUUACUCUCUGCACAUAUAUAUAGCAAUGAUUGAUAUAUAUAUAUGUGCUGCCGUGGAAUAAUCUUGAUGUAUAUCUCAAACCCAAAAAAUAGAAAAAGAACAAAAUAUAGUGCAGAUGGUAGCUAUGUGCUUAUAGAGCAUACAUAAAGAAAGUCAGACCACUCACGUGUAUUAGAGCCUAAAUCAAUUGGCUCAGUAAAUAGCGUUCUCGUGCUUUUUAGGGUAACAUCUCACCACUCCUCCGGUCUAAUCGGACACACUUAGUAAAAAGAGAAAAAGAGGCAACUAAUGUGUAGUAAAGUACUUAAAACCAUUUUUCUGUUUAAAAUCAGGAAGGUAUAUUGCUCACCUUAUUCAGAGCCUUAAAGUCCUAGCUCUGUUGGUUAUAGGCCAAAAUAGAGGGGAUGGCACUUCACCAAUGAAGACAAUGAAAAUAUUCACUGAUCUCUUUUGUGGUGCUAAAAGGCAAAAUACAGUUAACAUGCAUGAGGUCCAUAGGACAACAGCAUUACGCUAAAUGAGCCAAUUGGUUCUCUCAAACCCACUUACUGCAUGGCAUUAAAAAAUAUUUAAAAGGAGGCUGUAGGCUCUGUAACUGCUUAAUCUGCAAUCCCCUGUAACUGUCCUCCUGUUCAGUGUUAAAUUGCUUUUUAUGGUUUAAUGCUAAACAUAAGUCUCUAAUCCACUCUGUGCUGCUCAUUUAAAUGAGGAAGCAUUGGACCAAGCAGUCAUAUGAGGUGCUGAUUGGCUAAUAGUGUCUGAUGAUUGCUCUCAGACUUUCACAGCUGCCCAUUGCCAAUAUGAAUUGGUAUUGCCAAGAAAGAGUGUAAUCAGUACCUUAGACAUGUUGCAUAGCAUACAAAGUUCGCGGCUAGACAGUUGAGGUAUACACGACCGAUUAUCUUGCACCUGCUACUCCACUGCUAGUUGUUAAAGGCUCUUAACACUCUAACUCAAUGUCUUAUUAUGACUCUAGGGUUAUUGUUAUGAUUUCGCUGUUGUUGAUAUAAAUAUUAUUUUUAACUCUCACCGCAUAUCAAGCAGUAUGCACUAUUCCAAACCAGGGGUAUGCACCCUACCAAUCCUGCCAGAAAAGAUUACAAAUGUUAGUGUGAUGCUAGAGGCCUUAGUUGGGUUUUACACAUGUUCAUAUAGCCUGAUCUCAAUAACACAUAAAACACGUGCAGGAUUGGCAGAUGACACACAAUGUAAUUGUAUUAGGAAUAUAUGUCUAUCAGCUAUGUGUUAUCGUCUGUCAAUCACUAAUCCUGUGCGGCUGUUGUGGCCAAUGGGCUGUACCUUGGUUAAACUUGCACGACAAAAAAUAAAUAAAAAAAUAAAAAAAAUAAAAAGCUGGAGUGGAACAUUAUCCUGGAGUCUAGUGGCCUACUCCUGGGAUCACUUUGCAAUAAUUUCCAAGCUCCCACUUUGUUAUACAGCUUCGUACUAAUGCCGGGGCUGAGGUGAUGUUACACAGCCAUUCAAGCACUCAGAUCCCACGUUUAAAGACAGUUAAAAUAUUUAUUUAAAUUGAAUUGUAAUGAUAUCAGUCAUGCGGUUGUCUUUUGCAAUAUCCUCCUUUCUACCUAAAAUUACUUGUAAAACCUGGUAGGCUUUCUACAAGACACACAUAAAUUGCAUCAUAUAAAUGUCACUAGUGCUGAUGUGGUAAAUUGGACUCAUCAUAACGACACAGAUGUCCUGCCUAUCCACACACAGCUAUUACUUUUCCACAAGAAUUCACCGUGUACCUUAAGCUUCAUUUUAUUUCCACCUAUUUUGCUCCAGGAAUUUAAGUUACUGAAAAUGUAUUGCAAAACACAUUUCAGCCAACAGUAGCCUGGGGAUAACAGAGACAGCAGCUGGUAUUCUGAAUAUACCAGAAAAAUCACAGCCACAAAGCACAGUAUCUUUUGAGACUCCACUGAAUUGUUAUGUUAUUGGGAGCAACUGAAGCAGAGUAAAUCUCAGGGCGAACUCUUGUAGUUACCUUUACGCAUGCUGUUUGCUCCGACUGUGGACAAAUGUGUAGAGUGAGUGGUAUUGUUUGCAAAUGACAAACAACAUGUAUAAAAAACAAAACACACACAAAAAGAGAGAGACUGAGAAAAACCUAAUCUAAGCAUCUGUUAUCUGGCUUGUUGUAUAGAUUUGGAAAGCACUGAAUAAAAUAUAUCUGCCUGACAAUUACUAAUGAGUUUAUUCACCCAUACAAUAAUUUAUCUAGGCAUGUUUUUAAAGUAAUUGAAACAAAUUAGCUUUAGGAAAGCCCAUGCAGACACCUUGUCGAAGCAUCUCAGAACAGUCUGCAGUGAAAACAUUUUUCCCCAAAGAGUUGUACCUUCCUAAGAGCUGGGCCAUGCUCUAGGGAAGAAAACGAUCUACGAACUAAUGUGACUGAACGUGAAAGGGCUGAAAGGGCCAGUAUAAAGCUUCCACUAGAGCUAGGAGACUAUUCUUACAGAGUCACUGGGGCUUCUAGGCCAAUUUGUCCGUUCUAACGUCUUCACUCCUGAUGGUUGAGAAUAAAAUCUUUGAAUGCUUUCUCUUUCUUAACCUAUUUAAAUGAUAAGUAGGGCUUGUUAAAUUGGUGUGUUUCACGUAAGUCCUUUUUACAGGACUUUUAACUGCAUGCUUGAGCCUGCAGUCCAGACAUAGAAUAUUUAAGAAUGCAUCUGAGAGGGUCCGUGCAGAAGAAUGAUGAUCUCAGAUGUUUAUGCAAAUGCAUGCAAAUUACAUGUAUAUUAGCUCCACCUUUGGUGGAGCUAUUUCCAAGAGGAAAUUCGGGUAACUUUUUUACUGCAUUAUCUUUAUAUUAAAAUAAAUAUCAUGUCCACCAGAAUACCUUCAUUUUUGUAUAUCCUUUCCCAUUUUGUUCUUUCCAUUACAACUAAUAUACAUUGUAUACCAUGUGCAGUGAUAUUCAGUGGUUAACGUGUAAUAACUGAAGAAUAUACUGCUGUCAUGAUACCUCCAGAGUAUCUGCAUAACUGAAGAAGGAGUUUAAUUGUAGUCCAAGCCAGCUCUAAGACAGCUGUUCACUCAUCAAGCAGAAAGAAUAAGUGUCAAUUGUAAUAGUGUGGGCAUUAAUAGAGAUGAUGGUUAUUGGAAUACAUUGUUAUGGGUUAUCAGCUUUGGGCAUCCCUUACUGACAUUAAUGACACAAGAGAUCAGAUCAAUGUUCGUAAAAAGGAACUAUAAUUGUCAAAUUAAUUUUAUUUAGGUAAGCCUGCCACUGUCGUUUUUCUGAACGAGGAGACAGGGUACCACUGUAUGUCAAGACUAGAAAAUAUUGUUUAGAGUUUGUUAUUAAUAUUAUCUGUUUUAUAUUAUUAACAAAUCAUAAUUGGUUGUAUAGCUUUCCUGUACAUUAUAUAUUACAAUAAAAAUCAAUAACUGCAAGAAAGACUUACUUGUUUUCAUUGCUUCACGUUAUAUUGUUAUCACAUUCACGCCGUUUCUAUUUCUCUCUACUCUUGCCUCUUUCUCUCUGCUGUUUUUGUGUAUUUUUUGUUCUCAUUCUUUUAUAUCUUGUUCUUUUAUUCAUUUUUUUUUCUUUUCAGAGAAGGAUGUAAAAAAAGUUUAUUCUGUAAACAUAUUUUAUGUUUUGUGUUUUUUUUUACGUUUGUUUUUUUGUUGAAUUGAGAAAUGUAAUAUAUAUUUUUAGAGAUAAAAGUCAAGUUGAAAAAAAAAAUGUUAGUCUCUGCUAUUUUAGCCUACAGUUUGCAAUUCUGUUUUCAAUUGACCACAUUAUAAUAUAUGUAAAAAAAAAAAAUAUAAAAAAAAGUUCACUAUCAGAGGAGAUUUUAGAGGAGAUUGCCUGGUUGGUAAAGACUUUUAAAGCACCAUAACAACAAAUGCUUCUUGCAUGGAUUAUGGUGCAAGGUGUCCCUUUGCACUGUAUCUCGUCUUUGAAACAUGAGUAACUAAUUUUGGGAGAAAGAUUUUACUUUAUUCAAGAUGUAUCUGAACACAGCUUAACAGCAAACAUCAUGCGGAAAAUAGCAUUUUACAUUCAACAUGGAAUCAAAAUUUCAAAACAAUCAUUUUUCAAACCUGUAAUUAUUUUCUGUUCAGAAAAAUAUAAAGAUACAAGGAAAAAAAGGAGGAAGGGGUGCAAGGAAAGCUAAAUGGAUCUCAUUACUCUGAAAUAGGACAACAUACCUUACUAGACACCAACAUUCAGAACAAUUCCUUAUUUCUUCAUUCUGAGUGUGCACUUUAAUUUUCAGAAAAGGGGUACCAUUCUAUAUGAUGGUGAGAUCUUAUUGUGACUGCUAAGGGCACCAGGGUUAAAUCGUAAAGCAGUGGGGAUAGUGGACAACCCCAUGUGGAUGCAUUUGAGAGUUUUAAUGUUUGAGAUUUUAAGACUGACGGCUAUAUAACCAUCUGAUGUUACUUUUGCCUGCUGCUCGUGAACACCUCGUUUGGACGCUAUUUGAUUUUUCUUUUUUUCUUUUUUUUAAUAAAGUUCCUGUGGAUCAUGUCUUCACCUCCAGGAUCCCCUGCAGGUUGUGCUUGUAAGGGUUUGAUGUGUUGCUAUUGUGUUCCAGGUCCCAAUUGGCAUACCAUGUCAGUGACAUUGUGAGGCCAAAGAUGGUGGAGAUGAACCAUGGAUUAUAACAUAACGUAGAGAGAAUUUCACCAGUCUACAACUUCUUCAAUCAUAAAUCUCCAACUCUCCCAAAAUAUAUAUAUAUAUUUACUUCGGGCUUGGCACUCAAAGUAUCUUCCUGUCUUGUGCUUGUCUAGGGGCCAAACUUUAAGUCAGAAAUAUAUGAUCCAAAACAAAGUGCAUUCAAAGGUCGGAUAAAAUUGUAAAUCUGCUUUAUUUUGCAGGACAAAUUAAAAGAAUUUGCCAACGUUUCAGUCCAUCCCCGUACUUUUUUCAAGGUCUGUAAUUGCUGCACAAUAAAACAGAUUUACAAAUUAAUACAAAGACCUUGGGUGCACUUUAUCUUUGAUCUUGUAUAUAUAUAUAUAUAUAUAUAUAUAUAUAUUUCAUGUUGUAUUGUGUAUAUUUUAUUCUUUUUUGGAAUUCUUUAUUUAGUCAGAGGUGAGGAAUUACAUUGAACAGCAAAAGACAUAAUGUGCAGUAAAGGAUGUAAACUUUAUAAAUCAUAUAGGUGUGCUAGAAUAUGUACCCUUGCUGAGAAUUAUUGUGCAAAUCCACUGCAACACACUAAAUAAAAAGAGAAUCUGAGUCAGACAGGAGAGUUUGUGUAUAUAUAUAUAUAAAGCCUGGUAAAGUGUGCAUUACCUUAAUCUCUUGUAUAAAUCUAUAAUUUUAUUGCUCUGCAAAAUAUGUUGGCACUAUAUAAAUGCCAGUCAUAAUAAUAACAAUAAGAAUCCAUAUCACUUUAGUACCCUGUGCAUGCACUGUUAUCCGUCGCCCACCCUAAAUUGUGGGCUUCACUUACAACAAUGACACUAAUGACAAGAUAUGAUAAUGGACUUCUUGAGGCUUCUCCAGGAACUGUGCCACAGCAUUCAGAUGGCAUUUUCUGGAGGGCAUCAUUGGCGGUGAGUGCAUGUUGUGGCAUGCAUUAGGUUAUUGCUGGAUGUCUAAAGUAUGAGACAUUCAGUUUCCCCCUGGAAUAACUAAGGAAGGGGGAGCAUGACUGCUGCCCAAGAUUGCCUGGGUCAAUAAGGCAACAAAUGUAUCAAAGUUUGGGAUUCUUAAAGAAAGGGAGAGGGAGGGGACUUACCAGUCGGUAGAGAUGUCGCGAACUGCUCGCCGAACUGAUCGCGAACUGUCCGCCGGCGAACAAUAGCGUGUUCGCGUUGGGCGAACAUAUGCGAUUUCCGGUCCGUCCCCUAUUCGUCAUCAUUGAGUACACUUUGACCCAGAACCUCACAGUCAGCAGACACUUCCUGGGAGGGAGGGUCUGCUGCUGAUUGGCUGGAAUGCGUCUGCUGACUGUGAGGUUCCGGGUCAAAGUGUACUCAAUGAUGACGAAUAGGGGGCGGACCGGAAAUCGCAUAUGUUCGCCCAACGCGAACACGCUAUUGUUCGCCGGCGGACAGUUCGCGAACAGUUCGGCGAGCAGUUCGCGACAUCUCUACCAGUCGGUAGGAUCAGUUGAGGGCACCUGACUGUUUUUCCCACCCUCCCACCCUGUUUUUGGUGUUGUGGCUUGAGUCUUGUUUUGUUUUUUGUGUUGAAAAUAUACAAUAGAGGUGAAAAUAUAUAUAAUGAAAUAAUAAAAAUAAGAGCAGCUACUCGCAUCCACUAGCGACUAUGAAUGAGUGUAAGCUCAAAGGUUUAAACAAAGCGUGAGCGCUCUUUACUCAUGAAACAUUUUGAAGAUAUAAAUAAACCAAUAAAACAGUAUUUUAUUCCAAGAAAUUUAUAUAUAAAAAAGAAAAAAUAAUAACAAAUAUAAAUAACAGAUCAAAGAUGACCUAAACCUGCUGAGAUGAGUAUAAAAAACAAUGUAUCCCUUAAAAAGAGUAAAUAUAAAUCUACAGAAUUGCAAAAUGCACAGCUGAGUCAGAAGGGUUAACUCAGACACUAGGUAAAAAAUAACAACAAAGUGUAAGAGUAUUAUCCCCACCAGACUUAGAAACAAAUAUAACAACUGUAACAAAUGAUACAAAACUAGGUAUGUGCUGUAAAAUACCUUUCCUCGGUGUGGGCCCCCCACCGAGGUACAUAAAAAAUAAAUAAAAAAUGAUGAGUGGUGCGAGCUGGAGGCGGUGAUGUUAAAGAGAUGUUAAAGUCCAGCGAAAGGCACACAGGAUUCCUCAAAAUGCUAUGAAGUAUAUCGCGGUCGGGAUCUUCACAAAAGACCGCGAUAUAUACAGAAUACACUCACUGCCGCCGCUCUCAAUAGCUUCGAUGCCAGGUAAGUUCAUCCGAUGGGGAAAAAAGCGCCAAAGAACAAAAACCGCUUCCUGCUCUCACUCCUCAAUCACAGCAGGUGUAAGUUCAUCCGAUACACCCGUCUACGCGUUUCGUCCCUCCCACGGGACUUUUUCAAGACAGGAACUGCAGUGUGAAAUAACCCAAUAUAUAUACCCCACCAUCAAAUAAAGCAGGAUUGGAUUCACUUGCAUAUACAUAGCAAGUCUUAACAAGGUAUAGAUGAGAUUAAAUAUAAAAGAAAUAAAUAUAAAAGCAUUCAAAAAUAAAACCUAAUAUUCAGGUCAGGCAACAGAUACAAAACACAAUAUGUGUAACAUAUAUACCCCACCCCUCCCUCCCCCCCAAAAAACACAAAAAACACAAAAAUGCAACAUAUUAAAGAUUAUUUUUUAAAAUAAAGGGACAGCAAUUAACUGUAAUAUCUCAAAAUAAUUCUAGUUCCUCAUUUAAGCCAUUAGGUGACAUAGAGUUCAGCUUAAAGAUCCACACUGAUUCAGCCUUUAUUAAUUCACGUUUUCUCUUCGCUUCAUCCUGAUGGAAGGGGAUAUGUACUAUUCCCAUUAAUUUAAGACCAACAGGAUUAUUAUCAUGAAAGAUAGUAAAGUGGCGAGCCACCGGGGAUCUACUAUCAUUACGUAAUAUGGCUGUCCUAUGUUCACAAAAUCUACAUUUCAAGGGUCUGAUAGUUUGACCCACAUAUUGCCGUCCACAGGGACAGAUAAGGAGAUAUACCACAAAAGAAGUAUUACAAGUAAUUGAUGACUGCACAGAAAAGAUCUCAGUACUAUCAAACGAACUAAACGUGGAUUGUUGAUGACAAAUAAAUCCACAAGUUAAGCAUUUAGCAUGACCACAACGCUUAUUAGCUGCAACCUCUUGGCAGACUCUCUGGUGUCCUACAUUUUGACAGUGCAGUUUCGAAGGAGCUAGAAUGUUUUUCAAAUUAGGGGCCCUUCUAAAAGUAACUCUGGGAACCUUUGAAAUACAGAAAGACAACCAAGGGUCACUGGUCAAUAUUGGCCAAUAUUUGUCAAAAACUCCUAUGAUCUUAUCAAAACCUAUAUUGAAGAUAUAUGUUUUUUGUGUUGUCACAGGUUGGCGGGUUUUUCCUGGACAGCGCAGCUGGAAAAGGCACUUUGGGGAGACGACAGCCUGCACGGAGCGUAUGGCGAGUAGCCGACUUUUGAGACUCAUGGAACACAAUUUGGGGGAACUGUCUGUUGGGCAACCACCCAACAGCUGACAGAGUUGGAC